AUUCUUCUGGCGGCACAUUGCUGCCUCUCACAGGUCGGACUUAUGUUGUAAUUCAGAGUUUAAAAUCAAUUCAAUUCAUAGUCUUUAUUCAGAACCCUUUAUUAAUACCAAAGAGGAGCUAUCCUGUUGCCAUGUAAAGACCAGAGGCCAGGGACACACUCAGUAUGGAAGAACACGCAGCCAUCAACAUGAACCUACAUGAUCUAGGAAACAGGACGUGAUGCUGAACUUCAUCUACCAGAAAGAGCUCUUCUUCCUCCCACAAGGCUUUGCAGUUAAGGCCCUGGCCCUUCACAGACAUCCAGAUUUGCUAGAAGCUGAUCAACAGCCGUGCAGAUAAUUCCUUCUGUUCGAGCUGUGCAUCAGAGAUGCUCAUUCCUCCUCCUCCUCCUCCAUGUUCACCUCCAACUGCUGCUCUUUUCAAAGCUCAAUA